UUCAUCCCAUUUAUUCCACUUUCAUUCACUUGGUUUUGGCUACUGUUCCCAAAUAUCUUCCAUGUAAAAUUACUUUUUGUUCUCUCUCUCUUUCUCUCUCUCUCUUAUCACUUCACAUGUCUUUUGGAUUUACUCCUUCCACAAUCAAACCAAAAUAAGGAAGAAGAAAGUGAUGACGUGCACUUGAGGGACUAGAACAAGAGUUUGAAGAUUGCAAAACUGAUAAUCAAGAUGUGACGAUUGCAGUUUUAAAAGUGCAGUUACACUGCAAGGGGUGCAUAAAGAAAAUCCUCGAAAUUGUGAACAAAACAAAAAGUGAGUAGCUACCAUGUUACGUUUACUAAAUUGAAGUGCUCAACGGAGACAUUGAUGGCAUUAUUGGGUAUGAAGUUGUGCAAAUAGACAGAUGGAAGGAUUUAAUGACAAUGAUGGGAGUAAUGGACAUGAAGGCUUUGGCUGAGUCUCUGAAUGAACAUAGGAGGAUUUGAUAUUUUGCUCAUCCAGACGAUUACCCUUUGCAAUCAAAUUUUGAUUAAACUGGCUGCUUUCAUGAAGAAAAUAAAAUAAUACUCUUAAGAUAUAUAUUCGUUUGCAAAUUCCUGCUUCUUUUUCACAUUGUAUAUAGUUCUGUUGGCAUUAUGUACAAGUUUGAUUUACUUCCAA